GCGAGAGUGGUGAAAUUGGUAGACACGCCAGACUUAGGAUCUGGUGCCAUUGGCUUAGGGGUCCGAGUCCCCUCUCUCGCA
rnacentral:tRNA from 1 species